rnacentral:rRNA from 1 species
UACCUACGGGAGGCAGCAGUGGGGGAUAUUGCACAAUGGGCGCAAGCCUGAUGCAGCGACGCCGCGUGAGCGAAGAAGUAUUUCGGUAUGUAAAGCUCUAUCAGCAGGGAAGAAAAUGACGGUACCUGACUAAGAAGCUCCGGCUAAAUACGUGCCAGCAGCCGCGGUAAUACGUAUGGAGCAAGCGUUAUCCGGAAUUACUGGGUGUAAAGGGAGCGUAGGCGAGAAUGCAAGUUGAAUGUUUAAACUAUGGGCUCAACCCAUAGUCGCGUUCAAAACUGCAUUUCUUGAGUGGAGUAGAGGCA